rnacentral:tRNA from 1 species
GCCUUCGUGGUGUAGUGGUUUGCAUGCUCGAUGAGUAACCGAGAGGUUUGGGGUUCGAUUCCCGGUGAAGGCG